AGAGGAAAAAGCAGGACAUAUACAAAAAACAAAAACAAGGAGCAGCAGAAAAAAGAAAAGGAGACUGCGACUCAAACAGGAAAAGAGGAAGACACCACACAAGAAACUAAAGCAGUAGGAAGAGGUUAUGUGGCAGAAAGAGGAAGAAGCCAAACACAAAAAAUAAAAAGAGGCACCCUAGCAUAAACAGAAAGAGGCAAUGGAGUUGAAGAAGGAAGCAGCACUGUGGGAGAAGAAGGAGGAGGACCAGUGGGAAAAAGAGGAAAAGGAAUUGUUGCUUAAACAGAUAGAGGCAAUAGAGCUGGGGGGGGGGGGGGGGGGGGGGGGGGGGGGGGGGGGGGGGGGGGGGGGGGGGGGGGGGGGGGGGGGGGGGGGGGGGGGGGGGGGGGGGGGGGGGGGGGGGGGGGGGGGGGGGGGGGGGGGGGGGGGGGGGGGGGGGGGGGGGGGGGGGGGGGGGGGGGGGGGGGGGGGGGGGGGGGGGGGAAUAGAGCUAAGGGAGGAAGAAGCACUGUGGGAGAAAGAGGACCUCUGGGAGACAAAGGAAGAGAUGCUGUGGUUCAAAAAGCAGCAGGAACUGUGGCAGAAAGAUUUCCAGAUUUUGUGGCAAAAAGAGCAAGAAGCACUUCAGAUGAAAGAGCAAAGGGAUCUCUGCUGGAAGAAACAACAGGUACUGGCUUGGAAAAAGUACGAGGCACUACAAUGGGAACGGCAAGAAGUAUUGCGACGGGAACAGCAAGAGACAAUGCGUUGGAAGCAGCAAAAGGUAAUACAACACAUAAAGCACGAGGAAUCAUGGUGCAAAAAUCAAGAAAAGCUUCGCCAAAAAGAACGACUGGAGCUGCAGCGAAAAGAACAUGAGGCAGCGAAGUGGAAAGGGAAAGAGCUAUCACGACAUAACGGUCAAAAAGAUCUGAGGUUCAAUGAUGGCAGUCAUGGAACUUGGAAAGAACAACCUCAGCAGCCGUGGUACCAAGGGCAACACAAACUGCGACAGAAAGAGAAAGAUGAACCGCAGUGGAAAGGGGAAGAACUGCAGCAAGAGAAGUACCAGCUUUUUGAGGAGUUGAAGAAGGUUCCCAUGAGGAAAGGCCUACCAACUCCACCACCGUCCAAAGUGAACCAGUCCCACAAAUCACAAGGGAAAGGAGUCAUCUUUAUGGCUGCUGGAGAGGAGGACAACAUGUUCCCAGAUUAUAAUAACUGCAUUUAUAUCCACGGAGGAUGGAUAAAAGGAAACAUCCCUGGCUCGAAGGCUAUAAAAAAACAAAUGAAGAGGAUGAAGAACAAGUGAGAAUCUGAGUGAGUUUUGAGAUUUUCUGACAAUUUCCUUUCCAUUACGAAUAACUGAGAUAAGCACAAAUCUUUUUGUCGCUGAAUCCCAUAAA
rnacentral:lncRNA from 1 species